rnacentral:rRNA from 1 species
AUGAUCACUGGGCAAGAAACCAGCGGCAGUCACCACAGAGGCGAAGCGUUCAAACCAGGCAUGAGGGGCCUGUUUAAGACCAUAGAGGGAGCGGCGACUUCGACAGACCAUACCGUCAGGAGCAACCAAAUGAGUGGCAUUUUACCAGCACAUCUGGAUGACAUGGCUUUGGAAGAUUUCCACCUAAGUUCAAACCGACUCACCGGGUCAAUACCUUCGUUGCUGAUAAAAAUCACUAGGUUAGACAUCUCCAACAACAAAUUUUCAGGAGUAAUACCAUCAAAUUUUGAAGCCUCCAAGCUUGAAAUGUUGCUUAUCUAUUCAAACCGAAUUGGUGGGUACAUUCCAGAUUCUAUUUGCAAAUUGCAACAAUUAUCGUAUCUGGACUUGUCGAACAAUUUUUUUGAGGGUGAAAUUCCUCAAUGUUUUCACAUCCAACAAAUGAAAUAUCUUUUGCUCAGUAACAAUAGUUUAUCAAGAAGAUUGUGUCAUCAGCAGUGA